AGCGAACGCUGGCGGUAGGCCUAACACAUGCAAGUCGAACGGCAGCACAGUAAGAGCUUGCUCUUACGGGUGGCGAGUGGCGGACGGGUGAGGAAUACAUCGGAAUCUACUCUUUCGUGGGGGUUAACGUAGGGAAACUUACGCCAAUACCGCAUACGACCUACGGGUGAAAGCAGGGGAUCUUCGCACCUUGCGCGAUUGAAUGAGCCGAUGUUGGAUUAGCUAGUUGGCGGGGUAAAGGCCCACCAAGGCGACGAUCCGUAGCUGGUCUGAGAGGAUGAUCGGCCACACUGGAGCUGAGACACGGUCCAGGCUCCUACGGGAGGCAGCAGUGGGGAAUAUUGGACAAUGGGCGCAAGCCUGAUCCAGCCAUACCGCGUGGGUGAAGAAGGCCUUCGGGUUGUAAAGCCCUUUUGUUGGGAAAGAAAAGCAGCAGGUUAAUACCCCGCUGUUCUGACGGUACCCAAAGAAUAAGCACCGGCUAACUUCGUG
rnacentral:rRNA from 1 species